AUUCAUCAACAUAAAACCAUUAUCUAAGUGUCAAAUAGAUCUAACUGAAGCUCCUCCUCCUGUCCCUCUCUCAGUUUCAGGUUUGUAUUAAAUUGCUCCUCCAGCACCUCCUCUCCUCAUCCUCCUAACCCUCUCUUCUGACCCUCAUCUCCCUCUCAAGUGACAAGGCCACUCUCAGCACACACUGACAACAUGCUGGGGACCCUCUGCACUCUCAUCACCGCUCUAACAUGUGUGAGUGGUGUGACGGUGGUGACACAGAAGCCUCCUGUUGUGACCGUGAGGAAAGGAGAGACAGUCACCAUGGACUGUAACCUGGGGACUGUUACUG